ACGCUCGACACCUACGGGAGGCAGCAGUGGGGAAUAUUGCGCAAUGGAGGAAACUCUGACGCAGUGACGCCGCGUAUAGGAAGAAGGUCUUCGGAUUGUAAACUAUUGUCGUUAGGGAAGAAAAAGGACAGUACCUAAGGAGGAAGCUCCGGCUAACUACGUGCCAACAGCCGCGGUAAUCUGAGCGGGCUGGCAAGGC
rnacentral:rRNA from 1 species